rnacentral:misc_RNA from 1 species
ACCUCGAAAUUGAUCCACCGUAAACCAUGCAUCCACUUGCAUGUUCAGGUAGAGUGAUAUUGAACUACACAUGCAUAAAUGCAUGAAAAUACACAUGAAUGUUAAGAGAAUGGAUUUCAUAUACGGGAACUAUUAAACAAACGGACAAACACAAACAUCUACAUCCAACAACAUACAAUAAACUCAUUGACUAAGACUUUUAUGUCAUCAACCUGAAUUUCACA